rnacentral:rRNA from 1 species
GAUCAUUACUGAGAUAGGGUUCUUUUGAGCCCGACCUCCAACCCUUUGCUUAAAUUACCUUGUUGCUUUGGCAGGCCCGCUCUUCAUGGGCCGCCGGGGACGUUGAGUCGUCUCUGGCCAGUGCUUGCCAGUAGCCAAUAUCAAUUCUUUUUAACUAUGUCGUCUGAAUAUUCAAACAAAAUUGAAUUAAAACUUUCAACAACGGAUCUCUUGGUUCUGGCAUCGAUGAAGAACGCAGCGAAAUGCGAUAAGUAAUGUGAAUUGCAGAAUUCAGUGAAUCAUCGAAUCUUUGAACGCACAUUGCGCCCUUUGGUAUUCCGAAGGGCAUGCCUGUUCGAGCGUCAUUUUCAACCAUCAAGCUCGGCUUGUUAUUGGGUCCUUAUCGUUAAACCGAUAGGCCCGAAAGAUAAUGGCGGCGUCGAGAUGUGACCCCAGGUGCAGCGAGCUUUACAGCAUACACUGAGGUGGUUCUCUUGGCCCGGCCUUGACCAUUUUAUUUUCUAAGGUUGACCUCGGAUCAGGUAGGAAUACCCGCUGAACUUAAGCAUAUCAAUAAGCGGAGGAAAAGAAACCAACAGGGAUUGCCUUAGUAACGGCGAGUGAAGCGGCAAAAGCUCAAAUUUGAAAUCUGGCUCUUUCAGAGUCCGAGUUGUAAUUUGUAGAGGAUGUUUCGGGCAAGGCUUCGGUUUAAAUUCCUUGGAACAGGAUGUCAUAGAGGGUGAGAGCCCCGUCUUGAACCGCCGGCCGCGUCCAUGUGAAACUCCUUCGACGAGUCGAGUUGUUUGGGAAUGCAGCUCAAAAUGGGAGGUAAAUUUCUUCUAAAGCUAAAUAUUGGCCAGAGACCGAUAGCGCACAAGUAGAGUGAUCGAAAGAUGAAAAGCACUUUGAAAAGAGAGUUAAACAGUAUGUGAAAUUGUUGAAAGGGAAGCGCUUGCAACCAGACUUGUUCUGAACGGUUCCACCAUGAUUCUUCAUGGCUUAUUCCGUACUGACAGGCCAGCAUCGGUUCGGGUGGUUAGUUAAAGGCUUUGGGAAUGUAUCAACGUCUUCGGGGGUUGACUUAUAGCCCAGAGUGUAAUGUGACCUAUCUGGACCGAGGAACGCG